rnacentral:lncRNA from 1 species
AGAGAUUGCCAGCUGCACUCCCCGAUCAGUGCUUCUCCCCCCCCCCGCCCCCCACCUCCCCCCCUUCUCUGAAUUCUCUAGCUGCCAAAAGGGGGGAAAAAUCAAGAGCUGCUCUUAAAAGAAGUUGCCCUUGCGGGUGCUCGGGGUAAAAAUAGAGGCGGCCGCUCCGCCCGGCUUGGCCGUGACUCCAGCCCCGCGAGCCGGGCUCGAGCAGCGGCCGCGAUCCGGCGUGAUCCCCGGGAGCUGCCAGCAGGUGUUGCUCAAGCUUAUUUCAAAAAGGAAAAUCAGAACCUGUAGGGAGAGCCCUGCGAAUUUUUUUCCCCUGUCAGCAACAAUAAAAUACUUUGUCAAUAGAGGCAACUUCAUGGAGAAGUUUUAUGGGAAGACACAGAACUGAGCCUGACAAGAGGGAGAAACUGACGUGCUUGAUGUGCCAGUGGUCAAAGUUGAAAGCUGGUCCCUCAGUGAGCGCUCGCUGUUGGGUUGCAGGAUUUUUCUAAAGGGUCGUCUAGUCAGUCAGAGGUUUCCCUGGCUCCGUGAUCACCCAGGAGUGUCACAGCAGCCGAGAAAGGCUUUCCAUUAGAUAAUGAGUUAUGAAAUAUGUCUCACACUGGAAAAACCAGUCAUCUGCUGAUGUCAUUCUGCUUCCAACCAAUCCCAAACAAAGCCCCAGCCCUCCCUGCUUGACUGGUACCAAUGUGUGACUGUACAAAUAAGUAGUACAGUAUAAAAAUUCUCAGUGCCAAUGCCAUGAAGAGGAACUCCGAAGGCACUUGCCACAUGAUACAAGAGUCUGCUGGUGAAAGAGAGAGGACCGGAAAGAGAAUUGACUGAAGAGGAGACAGGAAACAAACAAACAAAAACAAACAAACAAACCAACCAAAACACACACACACACACCAAAACCCCAAAAAGGAAAGAGAGAGAGAAAAAAAAAAAAGCAAAAAAAAAAAAAAAAAAAAAAAAAAAAGCCCCGUGCGUGAGGGGGGAGGAAGAGCGGAGCCUUUUAAAAGGGCCGUCACCACAACUUUGGCUGCCAGGAUGCCCUUGCUUUGGCUGAGAGGAUUUUUGUUGGCGAGUUGCUGGAUUAUAGUGAGGAGUUCCCCCACCCCAGGAUCCGGGGGGCACAGCGCAGCCCCGGACUGCCCGUCCUGUGCGCUGGCCACCCUCCCAAAGGAUGUACCCAACUCUCAGCCGGAGAUGGUGGAAGCCGUCAAGAAGCACAUUUUAAACAUGCUGCACUUGAAGAAGAGACCCGAUGUCACCCAGCCGGUACCCAAGGCGGCGCUUCUGAACGCGAUCAGAAAGCUUCAUGUGGGCAAAGUGGGGGAGAACGGGUACGUGGAGCUGGAGGACGACAUCGGGAGGAGGGCGGAAAUGAAUGAACUCAUGGAGCAGACCUCGGAGAUCAUCACCUUCGCGGAAGCAGGCUCCGCCAGGAAGACGCUGCGCUUUGAGAUCUCCAAAGAGGGCAGUGACCUGUCCGUGGUGGAGCGCGCCGAAAUCUGGCUCUUCCUGAAAGUCCCCAAGGCCAACAGG